rnacentral:tRNA from 1 species
GGAAUAGUUUAAAAAGAAUUUCAGCUUUGGGUGCUGAUGGUGGGGUAAUGCCUCUUCCUUGAAGU